rnacentral:rRNA from 1 species
UAGCGAACGCGUUAAGUGUGCCGCCUGGGGAGUACGGCCGCAAGGCUAAAACUCAAAGAAAUUGACGGGGGCCCGCACAAGCGGAGGAGCAUGUGGCUCAAUUCGAUGCUACGCGAAGAACCUUACCCAGACUUGACAUGCAGCUGCACGAUCUAUGAAAGUAGGUCUCCUUCGAGGGUGCUGCACAGGUGCUGCAUGGCUGUCGUCAGUUCGUGCCGUGAGGUGUUCGGUUAAGUCCGAUAACGAACGCAACCCCUAUGUGAUGUUGCCAGCGGGUGAUGCCGGGAACUCGUCGCAGACUGCCCGUUUACGCGGGAGGAAGGUGGGGAUGACGUCAAGUCAGCAUGGCCCUUACGUCUGGGGCUGCACACGUGCUACAAUGGCCGGUACAGAGGGAUGCCAAGCCGCGAGGCGGAGCAAACCCCCAAAACCGGCCCCAGUUCGGAUUGCAGGCUGCAACUCGCCUGCAUGAAGUUGGAUUCGCUAGUAACGGCGUAUCAGCUACGACGCCGUGAAUACGUUCCCGGGCCUUGUACACACCGCCCGUCACAUCAUGAAAGCCGUCUGCACCCGAAGUGACCUUCACUGGUCCCUAAGGUGUGGGUGGUGAUUGGGAUGAAGUCGUAACAAGGUAACCGUA